UACGUAGGGAGCAAGCGUUGUCCGGAAUCAUUGGGCGUAAAGCGCGCGUAGGCGGCCCGGUCAGUCCGUCGUGAAAGUCAAAGGCUCAACCUUUGAAUGUCGAUGGAUACUGCCGGGCUAGAGUCCGGAAGAGGCGAGUGGAAUUCCUGGUGUAGCGGUGGAAUGCGCAGAUAUCAGGAGGAUCACCAAUAGCGAAGGCAGCUCGCUGGGACGGUACUGACGCUAAGGCGCGAAAGCCAGGGGAGCGAACGGG
rnacentral:rRNA from 1 species